rnacentral:misc_RNA from 1 species
GCACUUUUCUAUUGAAGAAAAUAAUUGUUAGCAAGGAGCUUGAUUUGGAAUUGUUCUCAAAAGUUUUAAGGAUCUUCACAGAAAGUGGCAAUUCAUUGACUAGUGCUAACCUCGAUGCUGUCCUCAAGUCUUUGACCAGUGUUGACAGAUUUGACGAAUGCAACAAGAUAUUGAAAGCAUUUGAGGAUGCUGGUUUCACACCUAGUCAUAAUCAGCAGAGCAAAAUUGCUUUCAAUUUGGGUAGUGGUGGGAAGGAUAAGGAAUCCAAUGAGU